rnacentral:tRNA from 1 species
UGCGGGAUGGAGCAGCAUGGUAGCUCGUCGGGCUCAUAACCCGGAGGUCGUAGGUUCAAAUCCUACUCCCGCUAC